rnacentral:misc_RNA from 1 species
AAAAUAAUCCUACCCUUUGUGAAUUUUGUUUGUUUGAAUAAUUUUUUUUUUAAAAAAUUAUUGGAGUCUUUCCCUUUAGAGUUUGCUUUUGAGUUUGUAAAAGAAUUCGAAAACAUCUAAAGGGGAUGGUCAAUAAUUUUUUUGAAAAAAGACAUUUUUUAAAAUUAAACUUUUGUAUUCAUUUGUCUAAAAAUUAUUUUUUAUAAUAUAAAAACAACUUUUGACAAUGGAUCUCUUGGUUCUCGCAACGAUGAAGAACGCAGCAAAAUGCGAUAAGUAGUGUGAAUUGCAGAAUACGUGAAUCAUCGAAUCUUUGAACGCAUAUUGCACUUUUUUAGUUUACUAAAAAAGUAUGUCUGUUUGAGUAUCAGUAAAAUAUUCUCAUAAAAAUCAUUGUGUAUUUUUAUGGUUAUGAGUGUUUUACAACGAUACAAGUUGUUUCACUCUAAAUUUUUUUUUAAUAUUGAAAUUUUUCUAAUUUUAAUAAUUAAAAUUGGAUAAAAUUUUCCCGUCAAAAGGAAUAACCUAAACAAUUUUAAAUGAUUAAUUUUAGCAAAAUUUUCGAAAAAAAGGAAAAUUUUUAUUAAAAUAACUUGAUCUCAAAUCAGAUAAGAGUACCCGCUGAACUUAGGCAUAUCAAUAAGUGGAGGAAAAGAAACUAACAAGGAUUCCCUUAGUAACGGCGAGUGAAGCGGGAAGAGCUCAAACUUGAAUCUUCAAGGUUUUACCUUGACGAAUUGUAGUUUAAAGAAGUGUUUUCUGCUGAAGUUUUGGUAAAAGUUCUUUGGAAUAGGACAUCAUAGAGGGUGAGAAUCCCGUAUUUGACCAUUAUUUUCAGCUUUGUGAUACACUUUCAAAGAGUCGGAUUGUUUGGGAAUGCAGUCCAAAAUGGGUGGUAAAUUUCAUCUAAAGCUAAAUAUUGGCGAGAGACCGAUAGCGAACAAGUACCGUGAGGGAAAGAUGAAAAGAACUUUGAAAAGAGAGUUAAACAGUACGUGAAAUUGUCAAAAGGGAAGCGUUUGACACCAGUGUUGUUUUUCUCGAAAAUCAAUUAAAAAUGGCUCGAUUUUGUAUUGCUUGAGACCUUAAAAGCUCACUGUACAUUUUUCGUGUCUUUUUUAAUGCACUUUUCGUUUAACAAGUCAACAUCAGUUUCUUUUGUUGUAAAAGGGUCAUUGGAAGGUGGCUUUCUUUUCGGAGAAAGUGUUUAUAGCCUUUGGCCUCUGCAAUCGGAGAGACUGAGGUCUGCAGCGUAGACUCUUCGGGGUUAGAUACAUUUGUGCUAAGUUAUAGCUUUUUAUAGACAACUUGUUGACUAUAAUUAGUCUUGUAGCUUACUCGCUUAUGCUAUUUUA